rnacentral:rRNA from 1 species
UACAGAGGGGGCAAGCGUUAUUCGGAAUUACUGGGCGUAAAGAGCGCGCAGGCGGUCGUUCAAGUCGCGUGUGAAAGCCCCCGGCUCAACUGGGGAGGGUCACGCGAUACUGAUCGACUCGAAGGCAGGAGAGGGAAGUGGAAUUCCCGGUGUAGUGGUGAAAUGCGUAGAUAUCGGGAGGAACACCAGUGGCGAAGGCGACUUCCUGGCCUGUUCUUGACGCUGAGGCGCGAAAGCUAGGGGAGCAAACGGG